UCUCUCCCAGCCGCCUCUCUCCCUUCCUGCCACCACCGUCAGCGGCCGCCGGCCCCUCCAGCCGCCGUCGCCUCCUCCUCCUCCUACUCGUCCCCCACUUCUGAUCUACCGUCUCCCUCCUGACCUCGAGCGCUGCAGCAGAUUUCGGACGAGCUGGAGGAAGGUCGCAGUUCCCGUCGGCACCCUCUGCAGCGGGUCCAGUGGGGUGGGCUGCGCGCUGCUCAUAUCGGUGUCGGCGGCUGCGGCCAUCCCUGCCAUGGCGUCGACCUUCUCUUGCCUGGCGCUGCAGCUUGCUGGUUGGAUCGCGGCGUCGACGCAGCCGGCUCGGUGGGGACUCUGUAUCAUACAUCUCCGCCCAAUGUGCUCCCAGCCUCCGACCAUUGUUUAGGUGCGGGUCACCCAAACAUUGCUGCACCACAGGCCUCUGCCAUGUCUGCCAUGUGCUGAGUUCCCGUAUGGAUUGAACCUAAGUAUUCAUCCCGGGGAGCAGCCACCAUCUUCAUCUUGGUCUCCUACACUGGCAGUCUGGCACCCACCCGCAUGAGAAAACUUGAAGUUCAGAGUAAAUGCAGAGGAGGAAAGUAAAAACAAGGCGCCGACUACGGACAAACAAUUUUCUGAGGCUCAUAAGGAGGGUACAACCUUCGCUGAUUAUACAGCCUCCACCAAACAUGCAGAAACUAAGGCAAUAGUUCAGUUGAAUCGUGGUCUCUCAAUUGAUGAACUCAUGCAGAAAUGUGACUCACCUAAGCAGUGUGAUCGCAUAGUUGGCUUCGGUGGUGGAAUUAGAGAAAGAAAUUUGUGAGGAGCAACAUUAAGUAGGGCUUCUAGAUCUCGAGCUUCCGAGCAAGCGAAACAAGUACUUGAAGAAAAACUCAAUGGAGUGGUGCAAGAAGUGUCAGCAAUUAAACGUCUUAUGUAUGCUAGAUCUCAAAGUGAUAGUAUGUAGGAAAGCCCACAUGAUCAAGACUGGUGGUCCACCGUAAGAUAUGGAAGCAUCAGGAGGCAUUGUAUUCACCGAUGAAGAAUGAUAUCCAUUCAAAAAAUGAUGGUGUUCCUCGACUGAAGAUUAAUAAAUAUUAUCUUUUGUAGUUGUCCCCUUUUUCCAAACAGAUAUGAGCAAGUACAUUGGCCAUAUAAGGAGUGCCUUUGACUAAAAUAUCUUAAAUGAUAAAAAUUUAGGAAUUGUAUGUCAGAAUUCUGGUAUUUCUUUUAAUAGAAGAGGCUAUGAUUAUUUCAA